rnacentral:lncRNA from 1 species
UUAAAUGCUGAAAGUCCUGGAAAAUGGGCAGUCUUCUGCGAUUCAAGGCCGGCCUUACAAUGUGUACGGUCGUUUCUCCGACAUGGAACUCACGAUCAGCUGACGUGCGAAAGCGUGGAACUUAUCCAUCAUU